rnacentral:rRNA from 1 species
UACAGAGGGGGCAAGCGUUAUUCGGAAUCACUGGGCGUAAAGCGCACGUAGGCGGCUUUCUAAGUCAGGGGUGAAAUCCUGGAGCUCAACUCCAGAACUGCCUUUGAUACUGGAAAGCUUGAGUCCGGAAGAGGUGAGUGGAACUCCGAGUGUAGAGGUGAAAUUCGUAGAUAUUCGGAAGAACACCAGUGGCGAAGGCGGCUCACUGGUCCGGUACUGACGCUGAGGUGCGAAAGCGUGGGGAGCAAACAGG